GCCUACGGGGCGCAGCAGUGGGGAAUAUUGCACAAUGGGGGGAACCCUGAUGCAGCGACGCCGCGUGAGUGAAGAAGUAUUUCGGUAUGUAAAGCUCUAUCAGCAGGGAAGAAAAUGACGGUACCUGACUAAGAAGCCCCGGCUAACUACGUGCCAGCAGCCGCGGUAAUACGUAGGGGGCAAGCGUUAUCCGGAUUUACUGGGUGUAAAGGGAGCGCAGACGGCUGUGCAAGUCUGGAGUGAAAGGCGGGGGCCCAACCCCCAGACUGCUCUGGA
rnacentral:rRNA from 1 species